UCGGUAGUUCAGUUGGUUAGAACGCCGGCCUGUCACGCCGGAGGUCGAGGGUUCAAGUCCCUUCCGCG
rnacentral:tRNA from 1 species